rnacentral:snRNA from 1 species
AGCUUUGCUCAGGGACCGUACUGUAGUCAAUGAGGUUUAUCCGAGGCGUGAUUAUUGCUAAUUGAAAAA